rnacentral:pre_miRNA from 1 species
AAUAAACCAAUUUUUUACUUUUUAUCUAUAAUCUUUGACUCUUCUUCUUAUUUAUUUUUUUUACGAUUGAUAUUUUUGUUUUUAUUAGAUGAUAAAUCAUGAAUAGUAUUUUACGUGUGACUAAUUUUUUUUCUAAUUUUUUAAAAAAAAUUUAAAUAAGACGAAUGGUCAAACGCUAGGUAUAAAAACCGA